rnacentral:lncRNA from 1 species
GUAACCACAAGAUUCCAGAACUAAAUAAGACAAUGAGAUUGCAGGAACUUAAAAAGCACCAGGCUUGAUGGCACAAGAAUACACUUGGAGGGAGUUGGCUGCUCCACCUAAGUAGCCCCUUUGCAUCACCUGUUUUAAAUUGGACGUAUCCUUCAAGCUGAAGUCACGUAUGAUCCAUUUAUUGCCUAAAUUAAGGGACCAGAGAGUGAG